GAUUCAGUAGUGUAGUGGUAGUACACGUCUCCGGUGUGGAUGAAACGUGAGUUCGACUCCCGCCUGAGGUCG